rnacentral:rRNA from 1 species
UACGAAGGGGCUAGCGUUGUUCGGAAUUACUGGGCGUAAAGCGCACGUAGGCGGACAUUUAAGUCAGGGGUGAAUCCCAGAGCUCAACUCUGGAACUGCCUUUGAUAUCUGGGUGGUCUUAGUAUGGAAGAGGUGGAAUGGAAUUCCGAGUGUAGAGGUGAAAUUCGUAGAUAUUCGGAAGAACACCAGUGGCGAAGGCGGCUGACUGGACAUGUAUUGACGCUGAGGUGCGAAAGCGUGGGAGCAAACAGG